AUUGAACGCUGGCGGCAGGCCUAACACAUGCAAGUCGAACGAGUGGCGGACGGGUGAGUAAUGUCUGGGAAACUGCCCGAUGGAGGGGGAUAACUACUGGAAACGGUAGCUAAUACCGCAUACCAUCGGAUGUGCCCAGAUGGGAUUAGCUAGUAGGUGGGGUAACGGCUCACCUAGGCGAAUAUCCCUAGCUGGUCUGAGAGGAUGCCCACCCCCACUGGAACUGAGACACGGUCCAGACUCCUACGGGAGGCAGCAGUGGGAAAUAUUUCACAAUGGGCGCAAGCCUGAUGCAGCCAGGCCGCUUGUAUGAAGAAGGCCUUCGGUUUGUAAAGUACUUUCAGCGGGGAGGCGGUACCCGCAGAAGAAGCACCGGCUAACUCCGUGCCAGCCGCCGCGGUAAUAC
rnacentral:rRNA from 1 species